UGAACCGUAUAGGGUACGGUGAACACUAGUCCUCUCCUGAGCGUUUCGGUGAAAACCGAAACUGCCGAAGGAGAAAAACUUGGCUAUAUCGGGGAAACUCCGACUCACAAGUAAAGGAUAUAUCCUGAGCUUGUCGAAGGACAAUCCCGAGGGAAGUUAUGUUGAAAUUAAUUAAAUCUUAAUCAAAUUACUAUGGAAACAGAAAGAGCACCGUCCGGAGAAGCGCUCUGAGUAAACAUAACCCCGUAGAGACUACACGCCGAGACCGCUAUCAAGCGGUAAGAUAUAGUCCGAACUGCAUAGUAAUAUGUAG
rnacentral:ribozyme from 1 species